rnacentral:misc_RNA from 1 species
AUCUGACUAUGAUAACGAUUUUAGUCCUUUUAAUGUUUUCCUUAUUUUUCCUUUUCAUUCGUCUCUUCUAAAUAUUUUUGUUGUGAGUUACGACUAUUUCAGUCAAGCUUAAUUUGAAGGAUAUGAAGCAAAACCUACUCUAAAUAAAAGUAAUAUUUCAAUCUAUAAAAGAUAUGUCUAUUAAUAUAGAUUUUUUGUCCUUUAUGUCCCAAGUCAUUGGUGAGUGUUCGAAUUAUCUAGGUUAGCUCAUUUUUAAUUUUUUAAUUUUAAAAAAUGUUUCUUUAACAUGAGUCUACAAUACAACAUUCUAAUUUAUGUGUACUUUCAUAAUGUAACAAUCAUAAAUAAAUAUUCCUAAAAAGUCGUAAAGUUGCAUUGAUGAAGAAUCCGGAAGGGCCUUCUAAAGUUUAAUGAAGAAUGAAUUUCUAAAGGGCAACAAUAUUAUUUUGUUGUUGUUCAAAA